rnacentral:lncRNA from 10 species
GCCAGGUGCAGGAUAAAAUCUCGUGGUGCGCCGUUUUUUAAGCCGGUUGGAAAAGCGCAGUAUUUGGGUGGGAGUGCCCGAUUUUCCAGACAACUUUGCACCAUGCGGACAGGUCAAAUGAGACCAGAAGUAUUAUGAACCAAUGCUAAUCAGGACUGUUUCCUGCACUCUGAGACCAAAGGGGCCAUUCUCACAAAGAAAGAGGCAGUUUUUGGUGUGUCUGGAGAGAUCAAAAGACUCUGUACAUAUUUUGGAAACUAAGAAAAGAACAGAAGCGUAAUGGUGUUAUAUCUUCCUGGGAUUUCAUUACUUUCAACAAGUGAAUUUUGCAG